GACGGAGGGUGCAAGCGUUUGUUCGGAUUGACUGGGCGUAAAGGGCGUGUAGGCGGUUGGUCAAGUCUGAUGUGAAAGCCCGGGGCUCAGCCCCGGAAGGGCAUCGGAAACUAGCCAGCUGGAGCGCGAUAGAGGAGGGUGGAAUUCCUGGUGUAGCGGUGAAAUGCGUAGAUAUCAGGAGGAACACCGGCGGCGAAGGCGGCCCUCUGGAUCGUUGCUGACGCUGAGACGCGAAAGCGUGGGGAGCAAACAGG
rnacentral:rRNA from 1 species